rnacentral:lncRNA from 1 species
GAAUACCUAUGUUCGUAGGUAUUACUAGUUACGACUACUGGACGCUAGGCUUCAGUCGUCUUAUCUUAACGAAUAUCGUAUUCGAUGGCGUCGUCGUUUGUGGCUGGCUUUCUGGCAGCCUAUACUGUCUUCGCUAUUUUAAGGAUUUAACUUGGCCUAAUGGCAGAAAUAAAGUAGCAUGCCAUGUCUGUAGGUUGAAUUCAACCCUUUCAAGGAAGAAAUGUGAACAAUUAGUCACUAACCAUGUUGCCUUACGCCUUUUAAAAGUAGUAGAAUCCUCUCAGGCAAGAGCUAUUGAAAACAAGAAAAAACAGCUUUAGUGCAUAGACUGUAAUUUUACGGCUUUUGAUUUCUGAAAGCACGAGAAACAUAAAACUUUCAAGUAUCUUGAUGUUUACAAUAAUCGUUCACAGAAUCUUGAAUUUAAAAUUAGCUAAAUAAAUUCAGCAUGUGAUCAGGCUCUCAAAGGCUGCCACACAAUUCAAUCUGUCCUUAAGGUAGUUCUUGCCUGGAUUAGAUGGCUUGAGUUGGAAAUAACCCGCAGGGAUGCAUCCAUUUUCACCACAAUUGCUCAGUUAGAAUGCCUUAAAUCAACUGAGGUUUUUGAUGUUUCUGUGGAAGGGGACAUGCAAAAAACAAUUACCACGUUGAUGAACUCAUAGAAUCAGUGAAAAAUCUAGAGAAACCAAAGCUUUGGAGUUAGAUGUUCUUGACCUCCUUAAUACUUAUGGGAGUGCCCAACAAGACUUGGUUGUGUCGGUUUAAAACACUUUUUCGUCGUAAUACCAUUUUUCGACGUUUGUUACCUACUCAAUACGGAAACGGUAUUGAUUCACCUCGUCCGGCAACUGAUGGAGGGGAAUUGCUUAAUCCACGUAAUAUCAGUUUAUCUAUCGUCGGAGACGAUGGCCCUAAUUCAACUGACAUAACCCUACUCGUUAUGUCUUUUGGUCAAUUUGUGACGCAUGAUAUCACUUAUUCGGAGGACUUUACUUUUGAGUUCUUUAUCAGCAGCAGAACCAGCCUAUGGACACACUGCAAGCGUACAUACAUCUCCAUCGGGAGUGAGCGAUCAAGAGUUGCAGGUAUAUAAUCGUGGCGAACCACACGUCCGGAAUGACAUGGAGGUGAAAACGCAACUGCAGCAACUACCCGAUGAAAAUUGGGAUCCGACAUUGAGUCGCCGAGGAUGGGCGUGUAUUUCUCAUCGAUCCAUCACUACAAUUGCCAAGUACAAUCGUCUUCCAUUAGUUAAUGCUGAUAAACAGUGUAAAUUAGCGAUAAUGUUACUACCAACGAGCUCCGAAACGGCCUGUCCCAGGUCAUCAGCACUGAAAGACGAUGGCAAACAGAAACUGAUGCUAGGAAAAGCGUAAAUAACUUUUUCGCCCAUUCGGCUGACAGACUGGCCAUCAACACCAGCUUGAAGACAGCAGUUGAUACUCACGACAGCAAUGAUUAUUAAUCGGCAAGAGCUCUUAAUGUUGUUCUUUCGUCUCUCCAAUGACCAGCAAAAAAUCAGAUACGUUGAACUCGAUCACGUUCAAAUGACUGAAAUACAUGAAUACGACGAACGAAUGAAAUGAAACACCAAAUUUGACGGUAUCUUGGGAAUAUCGUAUCCGAAGAUUUCUGUUAACGGGGUACCUCCAGUUUUCAACAACAUGAUUGAACAAGGAUUUGUAGAAGAGCCAGUUUUUCCUUCUGGCUUAGCAGGAAUCCUGAUGCCACCGAGGGCGGAGAAAUUACAUUUGGUGGAUCAGACCCAAAUCGCUACACUGGCGAAAUUACUUGGGUUCCUGUUACCAGAAAAGCUUAUUGGCAAUUCAAAGUUGAUGGCGUGCAGGUUUCCAAUGAAGCUGAGGGUUCCUUUUGUCAAGGCGGAUGUCAAAUGAUUGCCGAUACUGGAACAUCUCUCAUUGCUGGCCCUGUAGAUGAUUAAGAAAUUGAACACACUGAUCGGUGGUGUCCCGAUCAUGGCCGGGGAAUAUUAUAUCACCUGCAGCAAAGUUGAUGAGCUUCCGACGAUUUCUUUUACCAUUGGAGGGAAAUAUUGCAGCUUAGAAGGGAGAGAAUAUGUUUUACAGAUUGUGAAGUCAAACUGUGUAUCGGUUUGCAUGUUUGUUGCAAGUUCAAGAAGACACUACAUCAUCAGAAACAGCUCGGCAGGAGCACUCUUAUCCAAGCAGCUAAUAAAGUCGAUUCGCUGCCAGCAGUCACUGUGUUCGCCCACGCCUUACGCUUUUUUAAGGAACACGCACUUCGUCAACUGUCAGAUCAGACGGUCAUUCCCA